GAUGAACGCUGACAGAAUGCUUAACACAUGCAAGUCUUUGGCGAAGCUGUGCUUGCACAGCCUAGCCAAGGCGGACGGGUGAGUAACGCGUAAGGAACUUGCCCUGCAGUCAGGGAUAACAGACGGAAACGACUGAUAAGACCUGGUAAAGUCAGGCGGACUCAUGUCCAGCCUGAUGAAAAGAGAUGCUGCAGGAGAGCCUUGCGUCCUAUUAGCUUGUUGGUGGGGUAACGGCCCACCAAGGCGAUGAUAGGUAGCCGGCCUGAGAGGGUGGAGGGCGAAAUGGGGGAUGAGAUAGGGCAAAGGCUCCUACGGGAGGCAGAAGUGGGGGAGGUUGCAUAAUGGGCGGAAGGCUGAUGAAGAAACGACGCGGGAGGGAGGAAGGCGGUAGGGUUGUAAACAGGUUUAGCCUGUGACGAAGAGGGAGUGACGGUAAUGGGUAAAGAAGCAACGGCUACAUACGUG
rnacentral:rRNA from 1 species